rnacentral:lncRNA from 1 species
GGGGGUGACUGGGAGAGAAAGAACAGGUUGAAGGUGUAUGAAGGGUUGUUCUGCAUGUCCACUCGUAACUUCAAGAAAGCAGCAGAUCUUUUCCUUGAUUCUAUCUCAACUUUUACCACAUAUGAGCUUUUCCCCUAUGAUACUUUCAUAUUUUAUACUGUCCUUACGAGCAUCAUUACCUUGGACCGGGUUUCCUUGAAACAAAAGGUAGUCAAUAUGUACUCCCUCUAAUAUCCUUGUUUGCUGUAUGAGGAAUUUUCUAACUUCAAAAUUUGUGUUCCCUUGGAAUAUCUGGGAUGUUACUGUGAUGAAUGUACUUGCAAAUUCAUUUUUAUCACGUAUAUGUUGCAGGUCGUGGAUGCGCCAGAGAUCUUGACUGUAAUUGGAAAGAUUCCAUAUCUGUCCGAGUUUAUGAACUCGUUAUAUGAUUGUCAAUACAAGUCAUUUUUCUCAGCAUUUGGUAAGCUUUUCCAUUGUUUAUUUUUUCUUUUCGUAUGUGAAGUGUGUCUUCGUAGUUUGCAAAGGUCUGCACACAAAAGUGUAUGUAGAUUAUGUCUGAUGGGGGUCCCUGAUGCAUUUUCUUGAGAAUUUGAUUGAGAAUAGUGGUAUUUGGCUAUUUGCAAGGGCUUGAUUACUGAUAAUCCAGUUUGGAGGUUUUGAUUCUCAGAUGACAGUGUUUCCUUUUUGGAGUAACUUGAUAGUGAAAUAGGUUACCACUGUUGUAUAGAAACGUACCCCCUUUUCUUGUCUGAAAGUCUUUUGAAUAUCAGCACGAAUGUAUGGGGUCUUAGUGCUCUUUAUUAGUCAUGCAAGUAGUUAGCUUGAUUGGACUAAAGGGAUGUUCUUUCUGGCACAUAUUAAAACAGUAAAAAAGAUGCUAUUUCCGCUCCUGAAACUUGAAACUUUUCGAAUGGAUAAUAGUUCUUUUCCAAUUGCAUAGAAAGUAAUAUCUCGUCAUCUUUGUUAAGUUUGACAGGGAGUUUGUUUGGGUUAGGAGUUGGGGUAGGUGGGUGGACUUGUAAUUCUCAUUGCAGUUAGUCUUAGCUUGCAUAGUCUGCUCACUUCUCUUUGUAAUAAUAGCUAAUAAAUCUUACAUUGAGUUCUCUUCAGAGAACUAACUCAAAUUUGUAGGGCAGUUACAUUCACUUGAAUUUCCCAACUGAUUAUUGGAGAUGGGGGCAAUGAGAGACCAAUUGACCUUUGCGCACACACAAAAAAGAUUGAUACCUUUAUAAAAAAAUUUGACAAACCUAAAUGUGUGUUUAUAGACAGGCGUUAAAAUGUGAUCUGUAAGUAUCGAGUUACAGGAGAGAUAAACAUGCUAUAUCUGUCAUAUACUCGUGAUUUGUGAUUUACCUAUAUGUUGAUUGCUAGGGCCAUGUAUGUGGGCCAUGAAAUGAUAUAUCAGUUGCAGAAUGGUUGAAUUUUACCUUAAUGUGUUUUCAGCUGGCUUGAUGGAGCAUAUUAAAUUGGAUCGUUACUUGCAACCACACUUCAGAUAUUAUAUGAGGGAGGUCAGAACAGUUGUGUAUUCCCAGUUCCUGGAGUCCUACAAGAGUGUUACUAUUGAGGCCAUGGCCAAGGCUUUUGGGGUGUCUGAGGAUUUCAUCGACUUGUGAGUGCUGCUAUUUCAUGCUUAGAUAAUGGACUGUGUAUUCACUAUAAAACGUGUAACAUAAUUGAACUUUUCUGUUUUACUUCAGGGAACUAUCUCGGUUCAUUGCAGCUGGGAAGUUGCAUUGCAAGAUUGAUAAAGUAGCAGGAGUAUUGGAAACUAAUCGUCCUGAUGCAAAGAAUGCUCUUUAUCAGGCAACUAUCAAGCAAGGGGACUUCUUGUUGAAUCGCAUUCAAAAGCUUUCUCGUGUCAUUGAUCUCUGAAGCCGUUAAACCGUGCGUUGUACUUGUUUUCUCUUCAACUCUCUGUAGCUCUAAUAUUGAUAUAUUCUGCCUUUUCAUAUUGAACUCUUGGGGGAGUAUUAUUUUAGUAAUUUUCUGAAAUCAAAGAGAUUUUCUGUGUUGGGAUAGCUCUUAUAUUUGGACAAGCAUUGCAUCUUUUGAAAUGUUACUUCCUAUUUAAGUUUGUGCUCAGCUGAUGCUGAAAUUGACUUGAGAAUUCUAACUAGUGAAGCUAAAGAAUGCAUUUAGGGGGCCGUUUAGUAGUUAGUUAGAGUUAAUUGAUACAUGGAUUAGUUAGGAGAGAAUUUAUAUGUAUCAUUUAUGGAGGAUUAAUUAGGUAAGGUUUUAGUUAUUUGAUUUGCGUAAAACAAUGCAUAAGUUUAUUUGUAAUUUAUACAUGCAUUAGUUAGUGGGUUUUUUAAAUUAUAGACUAAACAUUUUAUUAGUUUUAUACAUUAAUUUACCACCUAAUUAAAUAUCAAAAUGUGACACUCUGUUCUGUUUUUAAUCUUGAAAGUAGAAUAUCAUUUAUACAUAUUUUAAUGGGAAUUUAUACUAAGAAUAGGAUCGAUAAGGUUUUAAUAAUUUAAGUUGAACCUUUUUAGAAGUUACACUUUGAAAGUUUGCUCAUAAUUGUGUAUAAUAAACUGUUUUAACAUGUUUGUGUGAAUAAAUAAUUACUUGAUCAACACGUGAUAGUGCGUAAAUGAAAAAAAGUAAUCAUACUCUUCAAUUUGUAAGAGAGGGUACAGAAAUGUUGGUAACUAUACAUGGGUAAAUAAAAAAGAAUUCAUUUUUUUUACAUUUUUUAUUUUUAGUCUUUGUAAUUUAUUUUUUGAGAUAUUCUUUUUAAUGGAAAAUGAUCAAGAAUAUCCUUUUAACUAAGAGAAAUUGAACAAAAAUACUUUCAGUUAAUAGUUUGAUCUAAAAAUGCUUUUGCAAUCAAUAUUUUGAUCUAAAAUAUCCUUAUCAUCAAUACUAUGGUCCAAAAGUAUCCUUACCAUCAAUACUUUGAUUAAAAUAUGCUUAUAUUAUUACUUAAUUAGUCAAAAAUGCCCUUUUCCUACUUUUCUUGCACCGUCGAAACAACCAUAAUUUCCUCAAAAAAACAACAAAAAAGAAAAGACAACGAAAUAAGAGGGAUAAUGCACAAGUACCCUCUCAAUUUAUGUCCGAAAUUUCAAAAACACACUUAUACUAUAGAUUGAGUGGGUACGUGUGCAUUAUCUCCGUAUAUAUAUAUAUAUACACUCAUGAAAAAUUAAUUCUCAUUGAAUAAUAGUAUCAUAUAUUUAUUUUCCUAGUAUUUGGAUAUCUCAAAUCUAACUAUUCCACUUGUUUUUGGAAGAAAACCAAUAUUAAGAGUUCAUUGGCCAUGCAAUUGAGAUUUCAAAUUUGAAUCAGUGUCUGUUUUAUGAAAUUUGAAAGAAAAAAAAUUCAACUAUGAUUUCAAAUAACAAAUUUACCUUGAAAAUAAAAUUUCAUUUCUAGGUUUGUAGUUUCACUUUUUUAUAAAUUUAAAGCUUGACACAUGAGCUAUACAUACAAAAAAGGCUCAUAAUUUUAAUUUUGCAAAAGAGAUCCGACCUCCACAUGAAGAAAUGAUUUAUAGAAUGUGAGCGAUUAUAUUAUAAAAAUUAGUUACUAUUAGUGUUGAUUUAUUGAAUCAAUGGAUAUUUAUAAAAUUAUGUAAAAUUUUGUAAUAAUAAAUAAUCAGAAACAUUUAUCUACAAGAAACAUGAAAAAAAUAUUAUUUGUUAAUGUUGUGCUUUGUGAUAUUUUAAUAUCUUACUUAUAAGGAAUAAUUACUAAACUAUACAACUUUACUUUACCUAUUUCCAAUAUUUCUCUACUCUUUUAUUAAAAUUAAAAAAUCCCUUUUAUACACCCAAUGAUACUUGACUUAAUUUUUUACAUUGGAAAUCAAAACUUGAACUUACCCAUCCCCAAAAAUUUCGCCCAAAUUCCCCCACCCCCCUUAAAAUUUUCGGAUAAAUUUUAAAACUAAAUUUGAAAUUCAAAAAAAUUCAAUCCCUAUUCUUCCGCUUUAGAGCUUCUCAAGUAAAUUUUCUUCGAUUCUUUUAAAAAAAAUUUGUGUAUGUAAUAUUCUGCAUUUUCUAAAAAAAUUAUAGUUUUCUUUCCAGAAUCGAAAGUUUCGAAGAUUUGAGUUCUAAAUCGUUCCAUGACCCUAACAAGAUCGAAAUAACAAUCCUUAUUCAUCUGAUUUAGAGUUCAGAAUUUGUUUAUCAUCUUCUCCAGUAAGUUUACUUUCUUUCUUUUUUUGCAUUUCUUGUGUAUCUAAUGUUCUUCCUUUUCUAAAAAAUUUAUUAAUUUUUUCCAGAAGCGAAAGUUUUGAAGAUUUGAGUUCUAAAUCAUUGCAUGACUCUAUAAUCAUGACAAAUCCAAGUUCUAGCAAGAGAUCUUCUUCAAAGAAUAGACAUUCAUCAACUUCAAAAUACCCAAAACCCCCAAAGAAAAGGGGUAGAAAGGCGGCACCUCCGAUCAUUCGACUAACACCACCUACGGUAUCAACAUUUGUAUCCCUAUACAUCCUAAUUUUUGUAUCUUUCGGUAGUUGGAUGAUUCUUUUUUUUUAAAGUAUCGUUUAUUUCAUUGCACUCAUGAAACACAGAAUAUUGUUGAUACUUUUAUGUCUUACACAUUCCUUAAUAUUUCAUAGAUAAAAUUUUAAGUAUCGAUUUAUAAUUUUUUGAUACUUUAUUUUUUUUUGUAUAUAUGUAUAUAACACAAAUAAAAUAUUUAGAUAUUUGUGUAUCUAUUUUUUUUUUGUAUAUUUAUAUACUUAUGAAAAAUUAAUUCUGGAUAAUAAUAUCAUAUAUUUAUUUUCCUAGUAUUUGGAUAUCUCAAAUCUAACUAUUCCACUUUUUCUUUUUGGAAGAAAACCAAUUUUAAGAGUUCAUUGGCCAUGCAGUUAGACACUAAUCCUUUAAUUUUUGGUAUUAAAAAAAUAAUUUCACCUGUCUAUUAAUAAUAAUGUUUAAUCAAAAUUAAACAAGAAAAAAUAGAUAAUUAUAUUCAUUUAGUGUGGUGGAAUUUCAUAUUCUAUAGUUAUUACAAGUUGCAACCUUUAGAAUUUCUAUUUAAUAUUAAUUACUUCUUUCAAUUUAUCAACUUGGACCAUAUUAACUAAAAAUAAUUUUUCCUUUAUGCAUUUUUUUGAGAAUUUUUUCAAAAUGUCAAUUCUUUGAUAUUUAAUAGGACUCCUUAGCCAUGUUUUUAAUAUUUAUUUAAAAUGUAAAUAUUUUAAUUUGUUAUGUAUCUAAUUUAUAUAUCUUUUAAUUUGUUUGAUUUUGCAAAAAUAAAUUAUUCAAUAACAGAAAGGAGAAAAUCAGGGGAGAAAAUAUUAAGAAAAAAAAGGGACAUAUCACUUAAAAUUCUCACCAGUUACUAUUUCAAAGAAAUCCCCUUUCUCAUUCGAGAUUAACAAUUUCAAUCUCUAUUUUCUCCUUUAUCAAAAUCUUAAUUAUGGAUUGUAUUCCGUAGUCAAAAUUGUAUUACAUGACAGCAAAAUAUAUAUUUCUUUUAUUUGUAUUACAAAAAUAUUAGUGAUUGUAUCCCAAUACAAUCUAAUUAUUACAUUUGAAUAUGAUUUAUGAAAGGAACAAGAUUCUGAAAAAAAAUAGCAUACAUGAUGGAAAUAAUACAAUCUGUUGAGGAAGAAUAUAAUAUUCAAAAGGGUUAAUGCACAAGUACUCCCUAUGACCAAAAUCUCAGAGACACCUAAACUAUUCUAAGGUCUUAUUACCCCCUGAACUUUUUUUUUUUUUAAUUUUGUACAUCUUUUGUUUUACAUGGCACACUCCGUGACUCAACGCAAUUGAGGCGCGUGGGAGAUACUUGGAUGUCAUGUAAGCCAAAAAGAUGCACAAAUUUACAAAAAAAAAAGUUCGGGAUAUAUGUGUGUGUGUGUGUAUAAUGAAUAUGAAAGAAAUAGGGAUGAAAGAUUCUGAAAAACAACAUACUUAGUGAAAAUAAUACAAUAUGAAGGAUAUAAUAUUCUAAGAAAACUACAAAUUAAUUCUGAAAAAAAUAGGAUACAUUUAUGCUUAAAAAUACAAAUCCAUUUGGCAUACCUAUUGGAAUGACUACAAACUAAAAAAGAAAUACAAUGUUCUUAAUAAAAAAAAUAAAUACUGAGUAAAAGAAAAACAUUUGACAAUUUUUCUUUAUGAAUAUAAUUCUAAUAUGAAAUCAAUUUUCUCCUCCUCCUCCUCCUUCUCCGAUUUUUUGUUCACCCUCCUCCUCCUCCUCCUCCGAUUUUUUAUUCGCCAAACCCAAAUUUGAACCCGUAUUCACUUGUGCAUUAGUAAUGCUAUAAGCAAAAUUCAAAAUUAUUAAAUAUAAAUGUAUAAAAAAAUCAAACAAUAUAUGAUGUAAAAAUACCAAUGUAGAUUACUACAAUAUACUAAAAUCUCAAAUAUGAAAAUAAAAAAAAUCAAAAAUAAUGUUUAAAAGACCAAAAAUUUGAAAUAUAUAAAGAGGUAAAAUCUCAAAAAAAAUACUUGGUGAAUACGAAAACAAACUCAAAAAAAAUUUGAAUAGUACUGUUUAAAAGAUGGAAAAUCUAAAAUACAAAAUACUGGUGAAUAUGAAAACAAAAUCACAAGAAAUCUCAUAAAAUACUUGUUGACUUCAAAUUUAUCUUAACCAAUUGUGAAAAAUAUAUAGAAUUAAUUGUUUCUUGAACAAAGUUUUGAAAAUUCAAAGAGUUGAUUUUCUUGAAAAAGUAAAUGAGAUAACAAUGGUGAACAAGGUAAAAGAGAGAAAGAAGUGAUUAGGGGUAAAACAUAGAAAGAGGGGUAAUUGGGUAAUGCGAGUAUUUCUUUUACCGGAUAGGGGAGUAAAAAAUUGGUCCAAUGUGGGCCUGAUUUGAGAAAUAAAAUGAAAGGACAUUAAUUAUAUUAUGAUAUAAUUUAUUUACUAAAAUAUUGACAGAUUGAUAUUUUAAUAAUUAUUUUAAAGUGUAGAUGUUUUUAAUAAUUAUAUUAGGGAUUGUGACUAGUUUACUAACUUUUUUUUUUCAAAUCAAAUUUUGUCAUGGGCCCUAUUAUUUAUUAAUUAAAUAAAGGAAAAUUUAGCUAACUAGUCAAAAAUAUUAACUUAUUUAGUGAUAAUAUCCAUACUUAAAUAAUAUUAGUAAACAUGUCAAAAAUGUCAUAAUUUUAAAAAUAAAUAAUUGUUUUGAUAUUAUUAAUAUUUUCUCUCUCAUUAUUUACACAUUUUUUUCUCUCUCAUAUAUUACACAUUUUCCUAUAUUUAUGUAAUUGGAAAGAUAUUAAUGUCAUUUUAAUUUCCCUCUCUCUCUUUUCUUAAGCUUAUUAAUUUCUCUCUCUUAUUUUCUUUCUAAUCAAAUUCCCAGAUUUUUCUCUCUUUUCUUAUUCUUCUUUUCAAUUUCUCUAUCUAACAUUCUUCCAAAUCAAUUCCACAGAUUUUCGAUUCAAUAUAUUAAUAUUUUAUAUUAUUCUCAUUUAAUUUCGUUGCAAAAUUUGAUUUGAAGAUUAACAUUGAUUUGGGUAUUAUUUUUUUUUCAGAUGCCUUAUUUAUUUACAUACUGAUUUUAGUAUUUUUUUAAUUUUUUUUAUUUUGUUGUUGUUCUUAAAACAUUUUUUAGGAUUUGAGACUACAUAAUUCUCUCUUCAAUGGACGUUUUCAAGAGAGUUACUAGAGGUAUUAGACAAAAUAAUCAAAGUUCUUCCGAUUUUCCAUCAUUUAAUUUUUUUUUCACUGAAGAAUUAAACAACAAUAUAGGUUCCGCUUCUAAAUCUAAGGAGGAUAUACGACAGGGAAAAAUGCCUGAAUCUGUCGAUGUGCAAAAUCCCACACAAAUUAAUAACAAUGAAGUUGAAGAAGACCAAUUUGUUGGAGAAGAGUUUUUUUUUUUUUUGCAUGUUCUGUGUCUUGCAUGUUUAAUUUAAUUUGUUUAGUAAUUUUUAAGAUUCAAAAAAAUUCAUGUUACAAUGCGUUUGGAAGUAUAUAUGGAAUUUUUAUUAUGUUAUAGUUAGUAUUUAUUUUUGUAUUUUAUAUAUUUAUUGUAUUUUGUUUCUAUUUUUUUUUUGUGUUAGUUAUGUUUGUGUAUAUUUCAUAAUUUUGAUGUUUUUUGUAUUCAUAAAUUUGGAAGUGUAUAUUGAGUUUUUGUUGUUGUUUUAGUCAGUAUGUAUUUUUGUAUUUCAUUGUUUUAUUAUAUUUUGUAUUCAUAGAUUUGGAAUCGUAUUUCAUUUAUUUAAUUUAUUUUAUAUUCUAUUUUUUUUAUAGUUAUGUCAAUGUACCACAGUUAGUAUUUAUUUUUGUAUUUCAUAGUUUUAUUGUUUUUUGUAUUCAUAAAUUUGGAAGUAUAUAUUAAAUUUUAAUACUGUUUUAGUCAGUAUAUAUUUUUACAAUUAAUAGUUGUAUUCAUUCAAAAAUUAUGUUGCAUUGUUUCUGAAUUUGACAUUUUUUUUUAAUUUGUAUUUAUUCUAAAGGUAUGUCAACUAGUUAUGUAUUUUAUUUAAGAAUGAGUACACCAAAUAUUCAAUUAUUUCUUUUCAAUUUUAUAUUUCAUUCACUUUUUCAUCAUACUAAUUUUUUGUAUUUUAUAUAUUAAUACAAAAUUCAAAAUAAAAACUAGAAUAAAUAGAAAUACAAAUAAAAUACAUAUUGAAAUGAAUACAUACAAGAAUUUCGAAGAAUAAAAUAACUAUAUAGGGAAAAAAAUAUAUAAAAAUACAAAUACAUUUCUUAAAUGACUAUAUAGAUAAAUUUGACAUAUUUAUUGGAAUGAAUAUAAAUUAUAAAAAACAAUAAUAAAUAUAAAUAGAAUAUAUUGUGGAAUGAAUAUAAUUUUAAAAAGGUAAAAAUUUUGGAGAGAAAAAAAAUUAAAUUUUAUUUGAAAAUGUAACUGAUGAGAAAAUUAAGGAUGCUUACCUUUUUUUGAAAUAUUCUCUUCCUUAAUUUUCUCCCUUUUGUUAUUAAAUAAUUAUAUUUUUUAAAUAAAAAUAAAUAAUAAAAAAGAUAUAUAACAAACUAAAAUAUGACAUUUUUACUAAAUAUUGAAAGUAUUGCUAAUGAGCUCUUUUAAAUGCUAAAAUAUUGACAUUUUGAAAAAUUUCCCUUAAAUAAAUUCUUUUGGGCUCCAAAAAGAAGCCCAUAAAAAACGCAAAUAUAACCAAAAAAAAACUUACAACUGAGUUAGCCCAAAAAUGACGGAGUUGAGGUAUAUAACAAGACCCUAAAUAAUAGGGUUUCAUAAUAAAAAACCCUAGUCCUUUCAUCUUCUCUAUCUUCUUCUUGCCGCCACUAAGUAUGUGUUCUUUAGUGCGUGAUAAAAGAUUCUUCAUAGUUGAUAGAUGUGUUGUUUCUUGCUCAACAACCAAUGGUGAAUUCCUUUUUUAUUUUGUUGCCUUUUGAUUUCAAAGUAGCUUUGGUGUUCUUUACUCCAUUAAAGGUGUAUCAUCCGGUGGGGGUUCAUGAGUUUGUGAGAAACUUGAAAGAGAGUUAGAACCCUGUAUUUAAAAUUCGUAAAUCUUUGUAAGUAUUUCUUGAUUUUUCUUCACCCUUAUUUCAAUUAAUCUACAAGAUUAACUUUUUUUUUCUCAUUUGAAGUAGAGGCGGAGAAAUCUAGGUUAGCUUCUUCAUCUUGAUAUCUUGGUUGGAUACAAGAAUAUAAAAGGCAGAUCUAGUUCCUGAAAUCAAGUGUUUUGCUGGUGACUGUAUCACUUUUUGUUUUUGGCUGACAUAUUAGGUUAGUUUUCUCACAAUUAUAUUUCCCUUGAAAUGGCCAUAAACUAUUUAGUAAAUAUAAUGGAUGUGAGACUCUGUGUCUUUCCAUUUGUUUAAAGGUUGCUGAUGUUGUUUAUACUUCUUGAUUUUAUUUUAAUUGUUGGUAUGUGAUAUUUAUUCAUGUCCAAGAUUUUCUUUCCCAUGAUUGGUAUUUUACUAAAAUUAUGAAAUUAUUGUGUUUUACCAUUUUUAUCGUAGUGUUUGUUAUGAAAUCCACAACUAAGUGAAGAGUUUUUCUGAAUAUGCGUCUUAUUUGAAUGUUUCGUUGACCCAUAAUCUCAAGUAAGUUUUCCAUCCUCUCUUCUAACUCCCAAGAUAUUCUUCGAAUCCCUCCUUAUCAUAGUCUGUGACUGAGAGAAUCUUUCUCUAGAUUGAUUUGGUGAAAUCCUUGGUUUAGGCAAUAUAUAAAGCCUUUUUAAAUUGUUGUCCUCUUAUUACAUGUUUGUAGUCAUUUUUAUGCUUUGUGCCUCAACAUAAAUUAGAUCGCUAUUAUUGUAUCUUAUAAAAAAAAUUAUAUGAUCUUUGACUCGUGUUUUCUUUGUUGGCUCUACUUGUGCUACAUUUACUCAUCCUAUUUUUGAAAAACUCCACUACAUUGUGGGAUAGUUAAGUGUAGGUUCAUAACUUUGAAGCAAA